GAACGCUGGCGGCGUGCCUAAUACAUGCAACUUGAACGCACUGACGUCGACAGAAGGUGCUUGCACUGGAAGUUGAUUGACGUGAGUGGCGGACGGGUGAGUAACACGUGGGUAACCUGCCCUUAAGCGGGGGAUAACAUUUGGAAACAGAUGCUAAUACCGCAUAAAAGUUGAGAUCACAUGGUCUUAAUUUGAAAGACGGCCUUUGGCUGUCACUUAAGGAUGGACCCGCGGCGUAUUAGCUAGUUGGUGAGAUAAUAGCCCACCAAGGCGAUGAUACGUAGCCGACCUGAGAGGGUAAUCGGCCACAUUGGGACUGAGACACGGCCCAAACUCCUACGGGAGGCAGCAGUAGGGAAUCUUCCACAAUGGACGAAAGCCUGAUGGAGCAACGCCGCGUGAGUGAAGAAGGUUUUCGGAUCGUAAAACUCUGUUGUUGGAGAAGAACAGGGACUAGAGUAACUGUUAGUCCUUUGACGGUAUCCAACCAGAAAGCCACGGCUAACUACGUGCCAGCAGCCGCGGUAAUACGUAGGUGGCAAGCGUUGUCCGGAUUUAUUGGGCGUAAAGCGAGCGCAGGCGGUUUCUUAAGUCUGAUGUGAAAGCCUUCGGCUUAACCGAAGAAGUGCAUCAGAUACUGGGAAACUUGAGUGCAGAAGAGGAAAGUGGAACUCCAUGUGUAGCGGUGAAAUGCGUAGAUAUAUGGAAGAACACCAGUGGCGAAGGCGGCUUUCUGGUCUGUAACUGACGCUGAGGCUCGAAAGUAUGGGGAGCGAACAGGAUUAGAUACCCUGGUAGUCCAUACCGUAAACGAUGAAUGCUAAGUGUUGGAGGGUUUCCGCCCUUCAGUGCUGCAGCUAACGCAUUAAGCAUUCCGCCUGGGGAGUACGACCGCAAGGUUGAAACUCAAAGGAAUUGACGGGGGCCCGCACAAGCGGUGGAGCAUGUGGUUUAAUUCGAAGCUACGCGAAGAACCUUACCAGGUCUUGACAUCUAGCGCCAAUCCUAGAGAUAGGACGUUCCCUUCGGGGACGCUAAGACAGGUGGUGCAUGGUUGUCGUCAGCUCGUGUCGUGAGAUGUUGGGUUAAGUCCCGCAACGAGCGCAACCCUUAUGAUUAGUUGCCAGCAUUUAGUUGGGCACUCUAAUCAGACUGCCGGUGACAAACCGGAGAAAGGGGGGGAUGAC
rnacentral:rRNA from 1 species